UACGGAGGAUUCAAGCGUUAUCCGGCUUUAUUGGGUUUAAAGGGAGCGUAGGCGGAUCGUUAAGUCAGUGGUCAAAUUGAGGGGCUCAACCCCUUCCCGCCAUUGAAACUGGCGUUCUUGAGUGGAAGAGAAGUAUGCGGAAUGCGUGGUGUAGCGGUGAAAUGCAUAGAUAUCGCGCAGAACUCCGAUUGCGAAGGCAGCAUACCGGCGCCCGACUGACGCUGAAGCACGAAAGCGUGGGUAUCGAACAGG
rnacentral:rRNA from 1 species